rnacentral:lncRNA from 1 species
CCUCCUCCCUGCCCUGCUGCACAGAGACACUGGUAAUAAUGACAACAACACACAGAGAAAGACUUUAUACUGUAAGGGAGAGAAAGAGAGAGAAAACCAACAUCCACAAGCCGAAAAUAAUGCAUACCGUUAAAUAUACCUGUUAUAACUCCAAGGGGAGCACCAUCUACCUAUCCACCACCAAAACUGACAGCCGAGCAAGCAACUUCUUUCUCUCCACCCCAUCGCUGGAUUGUUCCUUCCACUCUUGCUCAUCGUAUAAAACAGUAAGAAGAAUAAUGGGAACUACUCUGGAAAUCAGUGCUUGUUCUGAGAAUCUUUUCUUCUCAAGAUGAGGUACCUGCACAAAUAAUCCAGGAAGUUCAGAAUGUUAUUGUCUCUUGAAAAAUAUUGACUGCUGGAUGACUUUUUGUUAUCUGAAUGUAGGGGUACUGUUAAAAUUUAUAACCACUUUUAAAAUAGAAGGAUUUCCUUUUUCUCACAAUGGUGCACAUCAUUGUAUUUGAAUGGAAAGAUCUGACAGGGCAAAGUAAUCCUAAAUACCUUUCCUUACUGGAUUUAGAAUGUUUUGCACAUGUCAAUUUUCUGUAAAGAUCAGAACAAUAUUUCUCUUGUCUGCAUAUUUUUGCUAGUUAAUAUUUAUUAGAUGUGCCAAGCUCCAUUGGAUAUAUUUUUCUGUAACUUCUGAAAUUAUUAAAUAACCAUAUACUGUAUGAGUACACACAUUAGAACACUGGAAUGUUGAACUAAGCAUUUUUAUGUAAAUAAUUACUACUUUUCAGUUGCAGAAAAGCCUGGGUAUCAUCUCAUAACUGUUGUAUUUUGCCCUAAUGGGAAAUGUUCAGACAUUCUGUGAUGUAUGUACUUGUGCCAAUGGUUAUGUGUAACUACUAAUUAUAAAUUGUAAACAUGCUUGUUUCAUUGUUCAGAAUAGUAUUUCUCUUGUUAAAAAUAUUUUCAGUUAAAUGUGAAAAGGAAUUUAUUUAUUUUUUUAAGAUUGUCUUGCAAGGUCUGUUUUCUCUACUUUUUUCCUAAAAAAUAGUAGGGUAAAGAUUGGAAUUUUGUCUAGUUUUUCACUUGAUAGACCAAAGUUACUAUUGACACUGUCUUGCAAUGCUGAUCAAAUGUAUAUCUUUUUGCACUUUAAAUGAAUAAGAAAUGAGGAAAAUCAAAGUGUCAAUUGUACGUACAUUCACUGUACAGUGAAUGUAUACCAUUAGUUAAUCUGUUUUUAAACAGAAUAUUUUCCUUUGUGGGAAGGGGAAUACUCAAGCAAUGUAUUUGCUAGUCGAUAUAAAGUGUUUACAUGUAAUUACUUA